rnacentral:rRNA from 1 species
UACGAAGGGGGCUAGCGUUGCUUGGAAUCACUGGGCGUAAAGGGUGCGUAGGCGGGUCCUUAAGUCAGGGGUGAAAUCCUGGAGCUCAACUCCAGAACUGCCCUUGAUACUGGGAGCCUUGAGUUCGGGAGAGGUGAGUGGAACUGCGAGUGUAGAGGUGAAAUUCGUAGAUAUUCGCAAGAACACCAGUGGCGAAGGCGGCUCACUGGCCCGAUACUGACGCUGAGGUGCGAAAGCGUGGGGAGCAAACAGG